ACGUUCAUUGAGGCAGCCAGGCUGAGGGGAGCCACCCUCACUCCCUGGGAGGGAAGUGGCUUGCACGCUAAGGAGACCCGACCCCCUCCGCUCUGUGGAGCGCAAGGAUGCCCAGAGCAACCCCUCAUUGAGGCAGUUGGGCCAAGGGGUAUCCUCUGAGAGUGACAGCCAGGCUAAGGGGACCCCAUCGUUGAGCUAGCAAAGGGAGUUUGGAGGCAGGACUUGAACCCACCACCUGCAGCGGGUAUUGCCUUUGGCAUGGCUAGCGACACGGCAACGUCUCAAACCCAUCGCCUGCACCACUUACUGGCUUUGGCAUGAUUAAUGAUAUGGCUGAGUCUCAAGCCCACCAUCUGCAGCAGUGACCAGUGCCUGGUGCCCUAGAGGGAAUGAACAGAACAGGUAAUCACCAAGUGAUCCAUCCCCUGUCACCCAUUCCAGCUUCUGGCAAACAAAGGCUAAGGACACCAUUGAUGGACCUUUCCUCUGUGAAUUUAAGUUUAAAAACUUUGCCUUUCUUUCCUCCCAAAUAAACAUUGAAAUAAAUGCCUCCAUCUUUCUAAAAUAAGCCUCCCUAAUCUCCAUGAGAAGCAUCUGAGAGAGAGCAUUCAUCUGUUGAGGAGAAAUCAACAGCAUUACUUUACCCCACAAGAUUUGUAUUUCCACCUGCCAGAAUCUACCUUAAUAUUUUGCAUAAUCAGAUCCUAAUAAUACCUAGCCAUAUUAAUUUGUUUAACUUAAUCCCUAAAUAAAUCAAGUUAUUUGUUACUCAUUUAAAUUCACAAGGUAUAAAAAUGGCUGAAUUGCUAAUUCUUGGUAAGAA